rnacentral:rRNA from 1 species
UACGUAGGGUGCGAGCGUUGUCCGGAAUUAUUGGGCGUAAAGGGCUCGUAGGCGGUUUGUCGCGUCGGGAGUGAAAACUCAGGGCUUAACCCUGAGCCUGCUUCCGAUACGGGCAGACUAGAGGUAUGCAGGGGAGAACGGAAUUCCUGGUGUAGCGGUGAAAUGCGCAGAUAUCAGGAGGAACACCGGUGGCGAAGGCGAGUCCCUGGACAAAACCUGACACUGAGGCACGAAAGCUAGGGGAGCAAACAGG